GAGCUUUGUACAGGGCGAUAAGAAUGGAU
rnacentral:piRNA from 1 species